AUGGAUCCGGUGACCUCUGAGCAUUUCGCGAUCUCCGCGCCGAAGCCAUUCAAGAACCUCCGACGAAUGCCGCACUCCCGACACAGUACCGCCGUCGAUUCACCACCGCGUGGACGACCCUAUUUCGACGAACCCGCAACGACACAUCGAACCACCACUCACAGUCGCGGAUCCAUGCACGACUACCGCGAACCUCCGCAGCUCACGAAACUCCUCCGCGAGCACCCCAAGUUUCUCCGAUCUGCAACCUUUCCGUGA